rnacentral:lncRNA from 1 species
GUUCUCACCAGAUACUCAAAAGGUAACUAGGUGACGUGAUGAAUAUGUUAGCUUGAUUAUGAUAAUUAUUUCACAAUGCAUACUUAAAAUAUCACUCUGCACAUCUUAAAUAUAUAUAAUUUUUAUUUGUUGAUGACCAUCAUAAAGCCUGCAAAAAGUCUUUCAUGUUGUCUUGAGUCAAUUUCUUAUUUUGUGAAAAUAAAUUUAGUGCAUACUGUUUGCAUGAGUUUUGAAGCUUGUGUUAUAACCCGGAAGCCAAUAACAGGGUAGUGUGAGUGAAGUUACUGAUCCUCAGGGUGGUUAAGGCUCAAGGCUUGGGCUGAGUCUAGUCUUGAGCAGCCUCUCCUGAUAGCCCCUGCAUGAUCAGUGCAUAUUCUUUUUUUCUGAAUGUGCCUUUUCUUCUCCUUUCCUUCCACUCCAAAGUCCUGAAGACUCCAGCUCUCCUGGACUAUGUAGAAGGGGAGCUUUAAGUCUGGUACAACCUUCCUGCACCAUUCUGCAUCCCCUGCAGCAGUGACUCCAGAGCCACCUGGGGAUUGGACCUAGUACCUUGUCUUAAUGCUAUAUGUGGGCUGACAGAUUACUGGAGCCUCUCCUCAUUGGUCCUAAUGUUCCUUAAGUAUUUUUUUUUUUUUUGGUACCGGAGACUGAACUCGGGACCUUGUGCUUGCGUGGUCCUAAUGUUUUUAUGAAGCUUUAAUGGGAGUGAGAGCCCUUGGGUUUAGCUGGCUGUAUAGUCACAGGUGUACAUGUUCAUAAGCAUGUCUUCUUUAUCUAUAAUUUCUUCAGUCUACAGCCUUUUUCUCCUUGGAUACAGGCACCUUGAAUUCCAUCUUUUAUUAAAAAGUGGGCCUAGUUCUUUUCAUUCAUAUUUUUCUGCUAUAUUUUCUCUGUAAAUUUAUUUCCAAAGUGAUUUUUUGGACCCUUAGAGUUUUUGAUAUUUAAAAAUCUGAUAAUUCUUAUCUUUGUUCUAUUUAAUUAUUGUUUUGUUAUGACAUUUCUACCAUCUUAUUUUAUGCUUUGCUUCUGUACUUUAUCAUUUUGCUCUUUUAUAUCUCCCACUUGAUAGAUCACAUAUUCUUCUGUUUGUUUGAAAUUUGGAAAUUUUUGAUAUUGUCAUGCAGUUACAUAAUUAAUUAUGUCAAUCUUCUCCCUAGUUGUAUACAUGAGCCAAUACUGCCAUCAUCUCAGCAGACUGAACAAGUUCUCCAGCCACCUCUAGAGGUGCAGCUUUGUCCAGUACUCUGUUGGAUUCUUGCCUCCAGUGUUGAUGUAGGAAAACCUGACAUCAAUCAAAAUCAAAUUUUCCUUAAAGGAUGAUCUGGCUUGUCAUCAUUUCAUCAGGAUCAAUCUUCAAUGUUAAAACUUGACUGCAUCAGAACUCAACUAGCAGAUAAGAGCCCCUGACUCUGUUAACCUCUGACAGCUUAUCUUAUUUAAGCUGUAAAUACUGGGGCUGUGGAAUCAUCUCUGUAUUCUUCUAAAAGUGAAUGUUGGGAUAAUUGAAGACUCUGGG